rnacentral:snoRNA from 1 species
UUUGAAAACCGGUUUUUGAUGCGCCACUAAUGACAGAUUUAUCUCACUACUGAGGGUGUUCAUGUUUU